GACGAACGCUGGCGGCGUGUCUAAUACAUGCAAGUCGAACGCAGUGGGGACGGGUGAGUAACACGUGGGUAACCUCCCAUCAGAGGGGAUAACACUUGGAAACAGGUGCUAAACCGAUACUGAUGGAUGAACCCGCGGUGCAUUAGCUAGUUGGUGAGGUAACGGCUCACCAAGGCCACGAUGCAUAGCCGACCUGAGAGUGUGAACGGGCACACUGGGACUGAGACACGGCCCAGACUCAUACGGGAGGAAGAAGUAGGGAAUCUUCGGCAAUGGACGAAAGUCUGACCGAGCAACGCCGCGUGAGUGAAGAAGGUUUGCGGAUCGUAAAACUCUGUUGGUAGAGAAGCGGUAUCUAACCAGAAAGCCACGGCUAACUACGUGCCAGCAGCCGCGGUUUC
rnacentral:rRNA from 1 species